GUGCCAGCAGCCGCGGUAAUACGUAGGGUGCGAGCGUUAAUCGGAAUUACUGGGCGUAAAGCGUGCGCAGGCGGUUUGUUAAGACAGGUGUGAAAUCCCCGGGCUUAACCUGGGAAUGGCGCUUGUAACUGGCAGACUGGAGUACGUCAGAGGGGGGUGGAAUUCCACGUGUAGCAGUGAAAUGCGUAGAGAUGUGGAGGAACACCGAUGGCGAAGGCAGCCCCCUGGGAUGAUACUGACGCUCAGGCACGAAAGCGUGGGGAGCAAACAGGAUUAGAUACCCCAGUAGUCC
rnacentral:rRNA from 1 species